UACGUAGGGGGCAAGCGUUGUCCGGAAUCAUUGGGCGUAAAGAGCGUGUAGGCGGCCAGAUAAGUCCGCUGUGAAACUCGAGGCUCAACUUCGAGCUGUCGGCGGAAACUAUCUGGCUGGAGUCCGGAAGAGGAGAGUGGAAUUCCGUGGUGUAGCGGUGAAAUGCGCAGAUAUCGAGGAAGAACACCCGUGGCGAAGGCGGCUCUCUGGGACGGUACUGACGCUGAGACGCGAAAGCGUGGGGAGCGAACAGG
rnacentral:rRNA from 1 species